rnacentral:rRNA from 1 species
CCCUGGCUCAGAUUGAACGCUGGCGGCAGGCCUAACACAUGCAAGUCGAGCGGAUGACAGGAGCUUGCUCCUGAAUUCAGCGGCGGACGGGUGAGUAAUGCCUAGGAAUCUGCCUGGUAGUGGGGGACAACGUUUCGAAAGGAACGCUAAUACCGCAUACGUCCUACGGGAGAAAGCAGGGGACCUUCGGGCCUUGCGCUAUCAGAUGAGCCUAGGUCGGAUUAGCUAGUUGGUGAGGUAAUGGCUCACCAAGGCGACGAUCCGUAACUGGUCUGAGAGGAUGAUCAGUCACACUGGAACUGAGACACGGUCCAGACUCCUACGGGAGGCAGCAGUGGGGAAUAUUGGACAAUGGGCGAAAGCCUGAUCCAGCCAUGCCGCGUGUGUGAAGAAGGUCUUCGGAUUGUAAAGCACUUUAAGUUGGGAGGAAGGGCAGUAACUUAAUACGUUGCUGUUUUGACGUUACCGACAGAAUAAGCACCGGC